UGGGCGAAAGCCUGAUCCAGCCAUGCCGCGUGUGUGAAGAAGGUCUUCGGAUUGUAAAGCACUUUAAGUUGGGAGGAAGGGCAGUAAGUUAAUACCUUGCUGUUUUGACGUUACCAACAGAAUAAGCACCGGCUAACUUCGUGCCAGCAGCCGCGGUAAUACGAAGGGUGCAAGCGUUAAUCGGAAUUACUGGGCGUAAAGCGCGCGUAGGUGGUUCAGCAAGUUGGAUGUGAAAUCCCCGGGCUCAACCUGGGAACUGCAUCCAAAACUACUGAGCUAGAGUACGGUAGAGGGUGGUGGAAUUUCCUGUGUAGCGGUGAAAUGCGUAGAUAUAGGAAGGAACACCA
rnacentral:rRNA from 1 species